UACAGAGGUGCCAAGCGUUAGGCGGAAUCACUGGGCUUAAAGCGCGCGUAGGCGGAUCGUUAAGUGUCUUGUGAAAUCCCACGGCCCAACCGUGGAAGUGCCUUGGAUACUGGAGGCCUCGAGGGGGAUAGGGGCGUGCGGAACUCAGGGUGGAGCGGUGAAAUGCGUAGAUAUCCUGAGGAACACCGGUGGCGAAAGCGGCGCGCUGGAUCCCUUCUGACGCUGAGGCGCGAAAGCCAGGGGAGCAAACGGG
rnacentral:rRNA from 1 species